AUAUUACUCAGCGGAGGAAAAGAAACUAACUAAGAUUGCCCCAGUAACUGCGAGUGAAGAGGCAAGAGCUCAACCUUUAAAUCGCUGUGCCCAGGUACAGCGAAUUGUAAGCUCAUGGUCCGGACUUAGGCCGGUUUGACGCUUAAGGCUAUGGAACUGGCCGCCAAAGAGGGUGAAAGCCCCGUUCACAGCGUCAAACUAGCUGAGAGAAAGAACCUCAGAGUCGGGUUGUUUGGUAAUGCAGCCCUAAAUUGGAGAUAAACAUCUUCUAAAGCUAAAUAUGAAUGGGAGACCGAUAGCGCACAAGUA
rnacentral:rRNA from 1 species